rnacentral:lncRNA from 1 species
GGGCAGGGGUAACCAAGGAGGAAUAGACAGGAACACUUGUUUCAACUGUGGACAAUAUGGCCACUGGAGGAAUGAGUGUCCCCACCCCAGGAAACCCCAUCAAACCCCACACACCCCACCAACCCCACAAUUCUCAAAAUAUGCCCUGUAGGCAAGAACAACACCAGACCCACUCCCAACACCACUGGCCAGCAUAUCGCUUAGUUCAGGACUUUAGAGCCCUGAAUAGUUUAAUUGUGCCCAUUUCACCCAUUGUCCCUGAUGUGACAUCCCUCAUUACAGCCAUUCCACAUGAUGCCACUUGCUUCACUGUCAUUUGAUUUAAGUAAUGCAUUUUUUUCUAUACCUAUUGAUCAAGAGACACAGCUACUUAUGGUUUUUACUUUUUGAAGGCUGUCAGUUUACCUGGACACGCUUACCCAAGGCUAUGUGGAUUCCCCAGCUGUUUAUUCGUUGGUACUCCAACAUACUCUAAACAACAUGGACCACCGGUCAUGGUUCCGUCCUUUUUUGCAAAAUGUUGAUGAUUUGUUGUUAUGUAGCCCUAGCUAUGAGGCAAGCACUGUGGAUACUGUCAGCAACUGUAGGUCACAAGGUUGUUAAACACAAAAUGCAAUUGUGUAAAUCAAAGGUUGAAUACUUAGGUUUUGUUCUGGCUUUAGGCACCAGACAAUUGAGUCCAAAAUGUAUUGAGGUCAUUCAGAGGAUUCCUACACCCACUACUCGGAAGGAGUUGCUCACCUUCCUCGGCAUGAUUAAUUACUGCCGCCAAUGGAUCCCUGAAUGCUCCCAUUAUAACUCAAUCCUAAGGGAGGCUGUACGUUCUGACAGCCCUGAAAAUGUCUGCUGGUCACCAGACAUGCUAGCUGCAUAUAUUGCCCUUACAGUUGUUAUUGUGCAAGCCCAGGCUUUAGGACUACCUGUGUAUUGUAAACCAUUUCAUUUGUAUGCUUGGGACAAUUGUAAAACCAUGGCCGCGUCUGUGCACAAGAGCAAGGAGGCGGUAUGCGUCCCAUAGCAUUCUUUUCCAAAGUAGUUCGAGCUCCGGUACAGGGUAUGCCGGCGUGUCUCAGAGCAUUGAUAGCAUGUGCAAUGGCUGUUGAAACUGCUACUACUAUCACACUAGGGCAUCCUACAAUACUUCAUGCCAGUCACCAGGUCACUCAGCUGAUAACAAAUCUCACCACACAACACAUGACAGCCCAGCGCUUCAGUGGUUAUGAGAUUCUUUUUUUUAAUACCCAGAAUCUGUCUUUUGGAUUAAACAAGGUUUAGAGAAAGAUCAAAAUGAUCUGUUCUCUAAAGAGGGGAGAAUAGGCAUACUUGAAGAAUAGGCAUACUUGAAGCAAGCUGAUUUAUUUUCAUCAGUCAGGCACAUAGCAAGCACCAUUCAAUUCCUCAUGAAUUCAUUUUAUAUUAGGAAUCUCAGGCAGCAUGUACAGUCUUUUGUAAGAUCGUGUGAACGCUGCUCUUUUUACACACUUACAGAUUGAUUUUAUUCAUGUAUCCAAAAUUGGUAAGAAACAGCAAUACUUACUGGUCAUAGUUGAUCAGUUUAGUAGAUGGCAUGAGGCCUUUGUGACAUCUAGGGAAGAUGCUAGUGAAGAUUAUUGUUACUGAAAUUAUUCCCCGGUAUUGCUGCCCUCUGCAGAUUGGCUCUGAUAAUGGCCUAGUUUUUGCCAGUGGGGUUGCCCAGGAACUUGCUAAAUUCUUGCAAGUUACCUGGCAGUUUCAUAUACCCUAUCAUCCACAGAAUACAGGGGUAGUUGAAAGGAUGAAUAGGACUAUUAAGGAAAAGCCCAGAAUUUACCCAGGAACAUGGGUAAAUUGGACUAGAUAUCUACCAGCUAUUUUAGCUGAGAUAAGAAUAUAUCCCCACAAGAUGAAUUGUUGAUAAAACCGAAUGGAAUGUAUGACAAUGUUUCUUCGCAGUUUUCCCUUACCUUCACAGGAACCUACUCAUUCAUACCAGCCCGGUGACAAGGUGUUUAUCCGUCAGCUGAACAGGACCAAGAAAGGAGGAUACCCUUUUGGACCACCUGCUACUGUGAUUGCUGUACCCAGAACCGCUGUCCUCACAGAUUCCCAUGACAUCUGGAUUCACGCAUCCCGAGUGAAGCUGUGUCCAAAGAGGGGAACCAAGGAAGACAACACCACUCCUCGCUCGGAAACAGAAGAAUUUCUCCUCAGCGAAGCAUCAUGGUUUUUACACCAUAUCGUAGAUUGAGAGGAUCAUAUGUACCUGAGACCAAGAUUAUGUUGUGCGCUAUGCUUUCUGGAGUUGUUAUACUCCCUCUGAUAUUGUUCCUUGAAUGCCAUUAUGAGUACAAGUCAAUGGCAAGUUCUGGAAAAAGACUCUGACAUGAUGAACAAUUCUUCAAUACCCCCAGCCCAAUUAGGCCUUAGCCCCUCAUCUAGCAUUCGUCACACACGCCCCCUCAAGAACCUUUCUCCACCACCUUUCUAUCAGCAUGUAAUAUGCAAUCAUUCAUUCACUGAACGCAUUUGGAUGAAUUGGACAAAUAAUAACCCUUAUAAGUACCAGUUACCCAUAUGGAAUGUGUCUACAGCUAAUGAAACCGAUGCAUUAUGUUUGUUUGAAGGUUCACAGAAAAUUGUUAGAUCUUAUAACGCAGAAAUGUGCACAGUUAAGGUUGCAUAUCAAUGUAAAUAGACAGGCCUUAUUACUUUUAAUAAUGAUUAUAUAACUGGUAUCAUUAAUUGGAGAAGGGGACAAAUGUUAGUCAAUAUGAACAACACUACAAUUGAGAACUAUACACUACCUUAUAUUUUUACACCUUAUUACUGUCCUUUAUCCUCUACCAUAGAACCAAAAGUCAACCACGACACACACACACCUAUUCCAUCCACAUGUGUUAAUACAACUGCCUUCUUACAAGCUGUACAUGUGUCAUUAAAAAUCACUACUCCUGUUGUAACAUUAUGUAAUACAACAAACAAAGGCAGAAAAGGGAAUGGUAUGACACACUGUUAGGAGGUGCUGGAACCACUAUGGGUAUACUAAAUAGUUAUAGAUAUGGAGACCCUCAAGAAUAAGUUAAACACAGCCAGUAUGCAUAUAGGGACUGGUUUCCAUGCUACUGCAAACUGGGCUCCAAUUGUUGUUAAAUCACAGGUUAUAGGAUUGGAUUUAGAUAAAUCAAUGUAUAAUUAUUUAGAUAAUUUAACUGUUGCAACUAUGAAAUUCACUACAGGUCUAAGUAACUGGAGUACUUGUGCCAUCAGGUAUUUAUGGAUACAACAACAAGGAUUGGCAUUAGAAAACGCACUAAUGAUUCCCCAAACUAGAGAAGAUUAGAGGAAAGCGUAACCUCACAGAUAAUGAAUGGUUACUUCUAAAACCCCAAUCCAGUAAAUGCAAUGGAUGGUUAAC